GACGAACGCUGGCGGCGUGCCUAAUACAUGCAAGUAGAACGCUGAAGGAGGAGCUUGCUUCUCUGGAUGAGUUGCGAACGGGUGAGUAACGCGUAGGUAACCUGCCUGGUAGCGGGGGAUAACUAUUGGAAACGAUAGCUAAUACCGCAUAAUAGUAGAUGUUGCAUGACAUUUGCUUAAAAGGUGCAAUUGCAUCACUACCAGAUGGACCUGCGUUGUAUUAGCUAGUUGUUGGGGUAACGGCUCACCAAGGCGACGAUACAUAGCCGACCUGAGAGGGUGAUCGGCCACACUGGGACUGAGACACGUCCCAGACUCCUACGGGAGGCAGCAGUAGGGAAUCUUCGGCAAUGGACGGAAGUCUGACCGAGCAACGCCGCGUGAGUGAAGAAGGAUUUCGGAUCGGAAAGCUCGGUUGUAAGAGAAAAACGAGUGUGAGAGUGGAAAGUUCACACUGUGACGGUAUCUAACCAGAAAGGGACGGCUAACUACGUG
rnacentral:rRNA from 1 species